rnacentral:rRNA from 1 species
AUUGAACGCUGGCGGCAUGCCUUACACAUGCAAGUCGAACGGCAGCAUGGGUGCUUGCACCUGAUGGCGAGUGGCGAACGGGUGAGUAAUGCAUCGGAACGUACCCGGAAGUGGGGGAUAACGUAGCGAAAGUUACGCUAAUACCGCAUAUUCUGUGAGCAGGAAAGCGGGGGAUCGCAAGACCUCGCGCUUCCGGAGCGGCCGAUGUCGGAUUAGCUAGUUGGCGGGGUAAAGGCCCACCAAGGCAACGAUCCGUAGCGGGUCUGAGAGGAUGAUCCGCCACACUGGGACUGAGACACGGCCCAGACUCCUACGGGAGGCAGCAGUGGGGAAUUUUGGACAAUGGGCGCAAGCCUGAUCCAGCCAUGCCGCGUGAGUGAAGAAGGCC